UUUCUUUUUAUCCGCUUCAUAGGCGUUUCUCUAAUGUGUUCGUUUUAUUUGUUGAUUUUACAAGAUCGUAUCGGCAGCGAUACAGAAUUUAGUUAUUUUUACGUUUGUCGACUUAUAUAGGUCAAGAUACGUCAUAAAUUUCGUGUAUUCUUUUUCUUUUCUUUUUCUUAUGGGACGAUCGCCGUAUCGUAUUUUAAAAUCAAUUUAUCGAUACUCGUUGCACUAAAACUACACGCGACGAAUUAUCGGGGGGAAAAAAAUCUGCGAAAUAACCUAGUUAUAUUUAACGACGAAAGAGAAGAGCAGGUGGAGCGGAGUAAAGUAGCCAGUUAAGAGUCGCAAAUUAAAAGACAAGUGGGCCUUCGGGACAAAAUUCAACUUUGUGACAAGUAUAACGACACAAAGAUUCGUCCAUCAUCAUACGUGAUCGGUUUGUUAAACAAAGCUACUAUCGUAGUCAUCGAUCUGGUUUUCGUAUGUAGAAUGAAGUUGUUGUUGAUCGAACGAGACGAAGAAGACGACGAAGAGGGAGUGGAAGAAUCAAGAAAGGAACGAUCAGCGGUUCAGAAGCGUUCUCACGUAAAAAUACUCGCGUUAAUUUCAUUGCACGCGUUAAUACAUGCUCCGAAAUGGUUCGCUUUCCGAUCGUUCGUAAUUACACCGAUUAUCCGUGGUGAGCGUGCAUGUCCAGCCAUUUUGAACAUAAAUUACUCGCGAUCACCGAUACGUCCCUGCAUCGGUAGAGAAAUAAAAGAAAUCGCGAUGGAGUACGUGACCAUCGAAAGGUUCUGCCCUUUUUACCGAUACUUUCUCGACGUUUGCAACUGUUCCCGAGUUGGCUCGGAGCCAACAAUCGUUUUAUUAUCGCAGUUUGCACCGCACGGAACUGGCUAACCACGUUGGUCGUUAGUAUUUCGUUAGAGGUUUUCCCGGCUUAAUAAAUUGGAUGGCAUGGGACAAGUUCAAAUUCACGAUAUUGUUUCGCCUAUCCGUUAGAAAAAUGGAGCAACGAGAUCGUCGCGACCGAAAAUUCCACCGGUCUCGUUGUUCUUCCCCUUCGUAACUCGUGUAAAACUGGCCGCAAUUUAAAAACUACUUUACGGAACAACGUUUUAAUUUCGAAAUAAUAGUUUCCGUUUAACGGUAUCAAUUUUUAACGCCGCAUUAACCCGAUAAGAAAUUUCUGGCGAAGCGUAAUUCUUGCGGUCGUAGCUUUACGACCGUGAAACCACAGACCCAUUCAGGUUCUCAGAACCUACGGAAUUAUGUCUAAUUCGCGAUAAAUUCGUCUUAUUUUUUCCUCCUUCGAGGAUUUAUCGGAAUACACUCGGAAGUUUGGCGUUGAGUGUUCUUCGCGGCAAAGUGGCUCGACUCUGUAUGAAAUUAUCGAUGUGGUUAAAGCUGUGAAAGACUAUUAAAGGUGCUCGAACGACACCUGUUGCUCCACACCGAGUCUCCGACAGAAAUUUCGUCGGGUCCGCUUUUCCAUGGAUUUCGAUGUCGCUGCUAAUAUUUCACCUGGAUAAUUGUAACCUGCCCGCGGUCCUCGUAAACGCCAUUUCGCGAGAAUUACGCUUGAAGCUUCUCAAUUAAGUAACAUUAAAUCUCUUGAAGUUGGAGAUACGGGAUGCAAAGGGGAGGAGACGAGAUAACCGUAUUUAUAUCCCGCAGCGAAUGUGAAAUAAAAUGGCAAAAGGAAAGUGUUCUCGCGACAAGCCAGCAUCCAGCGACAACGUUGAAUCGUGUUGCAUUUUACAGAGGUUGAUCUACUUCGCAACGGCGACGCGAACCGAACGUCGUCAGUGCAUAUUUCCCAUGGCUUGGGGGAGCUUGUGCCAGUACGCGACAAAUAGUGGAAGGAAAAAUGAAGGAAAAAUGGCAACGCAGUGGUACUCGAAGCUAGAGUACAAUAAGAAAUGACCCAGAAAACGAUAGGAAAGAAGGGUUAAGCAGAAUGACUGAGCAUCGUGAUGUGAACGACGAAUAUGCACAAAGUGUAUGAUGAAAAGACGUAUCGAGGUAUGGAACAAGGUCAGUCAAUUAUUUUCCAUCUCCGCGUACAUUUGUGUCUCGAACGAGGCGUGAAAUGUCGCUUUGAUAAUUUUUCACCCUGUAUCGUGCAUUCAAAAAUGUUUCAACUGUUGGAAAAAAUUUCAAACGCAACGAAAACGUUUACGUUGAAUUUGUUUCACAAAUAGUUUGUUUUGAUAUUUAUUGUAAUGUUGAAAUUGUAACUGUUGGAAAAAGUUUAAAGUAGAGCAAACUGUUUACGUCGAAUAUGAUCAAUCUCGUAAACAGUACGCCCUGACAUUUUUCAUAAUGGAAUUCUCCAUUCUAUAUCGUGCAUUUACAAAUAAUUUAUCUAUUCGAAUAAAUGCCAAAUGGAGC